rnacentral:lncRNA from 1 species
UGGACGAAUUCAGGGAUCUCAUUAUAUAUUGACACACAAAAAUAAAAACCCUAAUUGCAUUUAACUACAUGACACAUUUCAUAAGAGCAACAACGACAUGCAGAACCAUUUCUACAAUACAGUUUAUAGGAAUUACAUACAAAGAUUUUCAUAAAUAAAAACAACAAAUGUCUACGGGGAGAUGUCGACAACGCAUUCGGUGACAAAAUUCUUAAACAUAGAUGCAAAAUGACGAACACAGUAGCAUUCAACCUUCCAAGCAAAAAAAGCUCCGUCGGGGCUUAACCACAACCACAGCUUCGGGAAGAUGUCUCCGGCAAGGAUGCCAAAGCUGUCGGUGCCGGACUUCUAGGUUUGAUGAAAAAUGAAGCACAAAAUCGCCGGCAACGUGCUGGCCUCUCGUCAUCCUCUCCACCAUCAUUAUUAGCAGGAUCAACCUUGCUGAACGUUUUCUCUUGGGUGGCACCUCAACAUUUCCCACCACCAUCCUCGACAAUCACCAAUUGAGUUAUAACUAGAAUACUAGGUAAUCAAUAAACAAAAACCCAUAGAUCUAGCUCGAUUCACCAUUAAUUUGCC